GAUGAACGCUGGCGGCGUGCCUAAUACAUGCGAGUCGAGCGAACGGACGAGAAGCUUGCUUCUCUGAUGUUAGCGGCGGACGGGUGAGUAACACGUGGAUAACCUACCUAUAAGACUGGGAUAACUUCGGGAAACCGUAGCUAAUACCGGAUAAUAUUUUGAACCGCAUGGUUCAAAAGUGAAAGACGGUCUUGCUGUCACUUAUAGAUGGAUCCGCGCUGCAUUAGCUAGUUGGUAAGGUAACGGCUUACCAAGGCAACGAUGCAUAGCCGACCUGAGAGGGUGAUCGGCCACACUGGAACUGAGACACGGUCCGGACUCCUACGGGAGGCAGCAGUAGGGAAUCUUCCGCAAUGGGCGAAAGCCUGACGGAGCAACGCCGCGUGAGUGAUGAAGGUCUUCGGAUCGUAAAACUCUGUUAUUAGGGAAGAACAUAUGUGUAAGUAACUGUGCACAUCUUGACGGUACCUAAUCAGAAAGCCACGGCUAACUACGUG
rnacentral:rRNA from 1 species